rnacentral:rRNA from 1 species
AUUGAACGCUGGCGGAAUGCUUUACACAUGCAAGUCGAACGGCAGCACGGGGCAACCUGGUGGCGAGUGGCGAACGGGUGAGUAAUACAUCGGAACGUGCCCAAUCGUGGGGGAUAACGUAGCGAAAGUUACGCUAAUACCGCAUACGAUCUACGGAUGAAAGCGGGGGAUCGCAAGACCUCGCGCGAAUGGAGCGGCCGAUGUCAGAUUAGGUAGUUGGUGGGGUAAAGGCUCACCAAGCCAACGAUCUGUAGCUGGUCUGAGAGGACGACCAGCCACACUGGAACUGAGACACGGUCCAGACUCCUACGGGAGGCAGCAGUGGGGAAUUUUGGACAAUGGGCGCAAGUCUGAUCCAGCCAUUCCGCGUGCAGGAUGAAGGCCUUCGGGUUGUAAACUGCUUUUGUACGGAACGAAACGGUCUGCCCUAAUACGGUGGGCUAAUGACGGUACCGUAAGAAUAAGCACCGGCUAACUACGUG